rnacentral:rRNA from 1 species
UACGUAGGGGGCUAGCGUUGUCCGGAUUUAUUGGGCGUAAAGAGCUCGUAGGCGGUUUGUCACGUCUGCUGUGAAAACUGGAGGCUCAACCUCCAGCCUGCAGUGGGUACGGGCAGACUAGAGUGCGGUAGGGGAGAAUGGAAUUCCCGGUGUAGUGGUGGAAUGCGUAGAUAUCGGGAGGAACACCAGUGGCGAAGGCGGUUACCUGGAGCUUUGCUGACGCUGAUGCGCGAAAGCGUGGGGAGCGAUCCGG